rnacentral:rRNA from 1 species
CGCGGCCUAUCAGCUUGUUGGUGGGGUAACGGCCCACCAAGGCUUCGACGGGUAGCUGGUCUGAGAGGACGACCAGCCACACUGGGACUGAGACACGGCCCAGACUCCUACGGGAGGCAGCAGUGGGGAAUAUUGCACAAUGGGCGAAAGCCUGAUGCAGCGACGCCGCGUGAGGGAUGACGGCCUUCGGGUUGUAAACCUCUUUCAGCAGGGAAGAAGCGAGAGUGACGGUACCUGCAGAAGAAGCGCCGGCUAACUACGUGCCAGCAGCCGCGGUAAUACGUAGGGCGCAAGCGUUGUCCGGAAUUAUUGGGCGUAAAGAGCUCGUAGGCGGCUUGUCACGUCGGUUGUGAAAGCCCGGGGCUUAACCCCGGGUCUGCAGUCGAUACGGGCAGGCUAGAGUUCGGUAGGGGAGAUCGGAAUUCCUGGUGUAGCGGUGAAAUGCGCAGAUAUCAGGAGGAACACCGGUGGCGAAGGCGUAUCUCUGGGCCGAUACUGACGCUGAGGAGCGAAAGCGUGGGGAGCGAACAGGAUUAGAUACCCUGGUAGUCCACGCCGUAAACGGUGGGCACUAGGUGUGGGCAACAUUCCACGUUGUCCGUGCCGCAGCUAACGCAUUAAGUGCCCCGCCUGGGGAGUACGG